rnacentral:lncRNA from 1 species
GGAGAGUCUUUAAUCUUGUUUUGCUAUUGGUGUAUACUGUUCGGGAAAAUUCUCCUGCAAUUCUUGGCCAAUUAAUCCCCCACAAAAACAUGAGAAUGCCUUCUGCUGGCGCCUUUGUACACAGUCAAAGGAAUGAUAUUCACGCUUAAAGAUAGUUGAGAUCAGACACAAAGGGUUAAUCCCAAUGAGCAGACAGCGCGAUUUCUGAUUGAACAAAGAACACUUUAUUGAGUGCUGCCUGGGUGCGGGGAGAAGAGCGGGAUGACCCAGAUGGGAGGCAAGAUCCUCCUGGAGGUCCUGAGGUUCCGGGCCCCCUUCGGUGGGCGGGGCCGUCGGGAACCUAAGAGCACUCUGCGGGGGCCACCUUCUUCUCCACGGUGCUCCCCUCGUGCGUGACCAGGCAGCUGAAGCUGCUGUGAGAUUUCCACUUGUCAGGCGUCAGGCUCAGGUAGCUGCUGGCCGCGUACUUGUUGUUGCUCUGCUUGGAGGGCUUGGUGGUCUCCACGGUGCUCCCCUCGUGCGUGACCAGGCAGCUGAAGCUGCUGUGAGAUUUCCACUUGUCAGGCGUCAGGCUCAGGUAGCUGCUGGCCGCGUACUUGUUGUUGCUCUGCUUGGAGGGCUUGGUGGUCUCCACACCCUGGGUGAUGGGGCUGCCGUCUGCCUUCCAGGCCACUGUCACGCCGCUGGGGUAGAAGUCGCUGAUGAGGCACACCAGGGUGGCCUUGUUGGCGCCAAGCUCCUCAGAGGAGGGCGGGAAGAGUGUGACCGAAGGGGAGGCCUUGGGCUGACCUGUGGGGAUGGAAGGCCAGUGGGUCAAAUGCAGAUGGUUGUUGUGUCAGCACCUACCUGAGUCCUGGUGUGGGGCUUCAGCUGUGUCAUGUCCGCGGCUCAGGCCUCCUGUGGACCUCGUUCCCCGCGUUCAGGGCAGCCAUUGGUAGUUAGCUCCCCCACCUUCUGAGGUGAGAAUGUGAGUGCCAGAUUCUCUAGUUUCUGGUCCCUUCCAUGUCCUUAGGCUGUCUGCACGUCACGUAUACUUCGUGUCCACCCAGUGUGCUCCCGGUACUGGUGGGGUACAGGAGCCCUGAGAUCCUGUUUCCCUUCUGAACCUGAGUGUCCUUGACCAUUGGUCUCCAUGUGACUACACCCGUGUCACUUACCCGUGAUUUCCUAGAGCUUGCCUCUCUCCGUGACAGGGCUCUGUUCUUACCAUGUGAACAGUAGGUUUCCUGUCCCCAGACUGUCUCACACCUUCACAGCAGCCUUCCCUGCCUCCCUAUCUAUCCCCGCACUAGAGCCCCUGAGGUUGUAAGUGCAAUGAGUUCCUGGUCCUGGAUUCCAGGAAGUGCAGAGACCAAAGGGAUUUGCAUGAAUGAAUUUUCAUUAUGCAGCUGGGAUUGUGUUUGAUCUGAGGUUGUCCUCUGAUCCAUGAAGUUAUCCUGGUGCAUCUGUUUGUCCUUGGAUUUCUGAGUGCUGUGUGGGCAAUGUCUCUGUUCUGCGUUCCAAUUGCCCCCCUGAUCCAAAUUUCUGCUCAUUGGCUUUUAAGCCUCGGAGAGCUGUGUAGGGAUGGACCCCUGCUACCUGAGUGUCUCGAGGAUGCCUUGUGUGAGUGACGGUCUAUUCUUGGUGUGUGUUCUCUCCCCCUAGGCGGUGGAUGGUCCUACCGCACUGGGCUCCCUUAUCUGAAGUCCUCACCUUAUUCUUGACCCUGAGCUGUACUUCGCCUUCCUUGUCUCUAAGUCCCCAUGCCUAGUGUCUCCUCCCUGAGCUUCACCCAGCCUCUGGCUAGGAUCCCCACCACACGCAGAGAGAGAGCAAGCGCCUUGGCAGGCCCCAGAAUCCUUCCAUAAUCCCAUGGCCCUGCUUACAGCUCGAGUAUCCCUCUUCCUAUACUUCACCAUCAUUUCCCUCAGAUUCUUGAAGUCAAAGGCCCAGAGUGGGGAGUCACAGAUGCCCAAGUCCAGGGGAGAAGUUUCCCUCAUGGGGAGAGAGCUCGACCCCCAGGGAAGCCUGAGUGUAGAUCAGGGGCUGCUUCCCCGAGGCACCGAAUGGACCUCUGACAUGGUGGGAGCAGUGGACGAAUGAGGGGCAGAGCAAGGCGACCAAAAGAACAGACCCACAGAUCUUCAGCCUCAGCCCGCAUCAGGAUUGAAAGGAGACAAACAUUGCCAGAAAUUGUAGUGUGGAGGCGAAAGAGGAGAGAAAGGGGGAGACUCACCGAGGACGGUCAGAUGGGUGCCUCCGCCGAACACAAUACACUGUGACACAGCCUCGAGCACAAACCCUCUGUCAGCCCCUCCACCCCUGACCCAGGCCCACCUGCAGCUGCUCGGGAGGCCCAAAG